AAUGAACGCUGGCGGCAUGCCUUACACAUGCAAGUCGAACGGCAGCAUGACCUAGCUUGCUAGGUUGAUGGCGAGUGGCGAACGGGUGAGUAAUGCAUCGGAACGUGCCUUUUAGUGGGGGAUAACGUAGCGAAAGUUACGCUAAUACCGCAUAUUCUCUGAGGAGGAAAGCAGGGGACCUUCGGGCCUUGCGCUAGAAGAGCGGCCGAUGUCGGAUUAGCUAGUUGGUGAGGUAAAGGCUCACCAAGGCAACGAUCCGUAGCGGGUCUGAGAGGAUGAUCCGCCAUACUGGGACUGAGACACGGCCCAGACUCCUACGGGAGGCAGCAGUGGGGAAUUUUGGACAAUGGGCGCAAGCCUGAUCCAGCCAUGCCGCGUGAGUGAAGAAGGCCUUCGGGUUGUAAAGCUCUUUCGGCUGGGAAGAAAUCGCACCCUCUAAUACAGGGUGUGGAUGACGGUACCAGCAUAAGAAGCACCGGCUAACUACGUG
rnacentral:rRNA from 1 species